GGACUACGCGGGUAUCUAAUCCGGUUCGCUACCCCAGCUUUCGUCCCUGACCGUCAGACGUGUUCUAGUAAGCAGCCUUCGCCACUGGUGGUCCUCCGGGGAUCAAAGGAUUUCGCCCCUACCCCCAGAAUACCGCUUACCUCUCCCACUCUCUAGCCGGGCAGUAUUUCCCGCAGUCCAACGCUUGAGACGCUGGAUUUAACGGGAAACUUACCCGGCCGGCUACGGACGCUUUAGGCCAAAUAAUCAUCCCCACCACUCGAGGGGCUGGUGUUACCGCGGCGGCUGACACCAGUCUUGCCCCCCUCUUAUUCCCUAGGCUAUUUAGACCAAGGAAAAGCCACCUUCUUCAGAUGGCACUCGAGGUAACCCCUUCGCACGUGAGUGCAUUGAGGAGGUUUCGCGCCUGCUGCACCCCAUAGG
rnacentral:rRNA from 1 species